GACGGGUAUCCGGCCUGAGAGGGUGAACGGACACACUGGAACUGAGACACGGUCCAGACUCCUACGGGAGGCAGCAGUAGGGAAUAUUGCUCAAUGGAGGAAACCCUGAAGCAGCAACGCCGCGUGGAGGAUGAAGGUUUUAGGAUUGUAAACUCCUUUUGUUAGAGAAGAUUAUGACGGUAUCUAACGAAUAAGCACCGGCUAACUCCGUGCCAGCAGCCGCGGUAAUACGGAGGGUGCAAGCGUUACUCGGAAUCACUGGGCGUAAAGAGUGCGCAGGCGGGAUAGCAAGUCAGAUGUGAAAUGCUAUGGCUUAACCAUAGAACUGCAUUUGAAACUGUUAUUCUA
rnacentral:rRNA from 1 species